UUUUAUUUUAUCGUGCUUUUUUGCCUGGUAUCAUUAUGUUCAACUAAAACACCAAAGGGUCCCUCAUGUAAUUCGCCCCAGUCUAUCUCGAUAACAAAACUCAAGGAUCGUUAUGUGUUUGUAAAUACGACUGGCUUUCUGCCGAGAAAGGCCAACCUUGGUCACCACAGCGGUAGUCACUCAGGGAACAAAUGGUGUCCGUGGACGUGGGCGACAGACGUAGACCACUCUCGCCUACCACCAAGAAUGGCUUCUGCGAAAUGUGAUAAUUGUGACAAGGCUGUAUGCAAACCCAUGUACAUGCAUCUUGAUGCAUUAAAAUGGGCUUCUCAAUGUGACUCGAAAACCGGGGAUAAAUAUCGUGAAUGGUCGACAGUCAAGCUUCCUAUAGCUUAUAUUUAUACAGGAAACAUUUGAACUGAGAAAUAAUGACUUGGACUUAAAUUAAUCCAUCCAUUCUGUUCAACCCUAUACUUUUAAUAUUACCAAAUAUUAUUUUUUAUGCACAAUUUUAGAUUAGCAUUUCCCUUAAAGAGUAUAAUAUUUUGGGGGAUUUUAUAUUCACUAUUAACAAAG